rnacentral:rRNA from 1 species
CGUAACGCGUAAGAACUUACCUUUUGAGGGGAUAACAUUGGGAAACCGCUGCUAAUACCCCAUAAUGCUGAGGAGCUAAACGGAUUCUGAAAAGAACAACAACCGCCAAGAGAGAGGCUUGCGUCUGAUUAGCUAGUUGGUGGAGGUAAUGGCUCCCCAAGGCGACGAUCAGUAGCUGGUCUGAGAGGAUGAUCAGCCACACUGGGACUGAGACACGGCCCAG